UACAGAGGUCCCGAGCGUUGUUCGGAUUCACUGGGCGUAAAGGGUGCGUAGGUGGCAUGGAAAGUUUGAUGUGAAAGCUCAGGGCUUAACCCUGAAAUGGCAUUGAAUACUGCUGUGCUGGAGGUUUGGAGGGGGGACUGGAAUUCUUGGUGUAGCAGUGAAAUGCGUAGAUAUCAAGAGGAACACCAGUGGCGAAGGCGAGUCCCUGGACAACACCUGACACUGAGGCGCGACAGCGUGGGGAGCAAACAGG
rnacentral:rRNA from 1 species